rnacentral:misc_RNA from 1 species
UCCGGAUUAUCGCCGGCAGUUUCCCUAAAGUUCUCAACAUUACUUGUUAGCAACUAAGGACGAGGGUUGCGCUCGUUACGGGACUUAACCCAACAUCUCACAACACGAGCUGACGACAGCCAUGCAGCACCUGUCAUUCAAUUCCAAAAGGCACCCAAAUAUUUCUAUUCAGUUAUGAAGAUCAAGGGUAGGUAAGGUUCUUCGUGUAGCAUCGAAUUAAACCACAUGCUCCACCGCUUGUGCGGGCCCCCGUCAAUUCCUUUGAGUUUUAACCUUGCGGUCGUACUCCCCAGGUGGAGAACUUAACGCGUUAGCUACGCCACUAAAUACAUUUAUAUAUCUAAUAGCAAGUUCUCAUCGUUUACAGCGUGGACUAC